rnacentral:lncRNA from 1 species
AAGUUUCUGAUGCCUCAUGUCAAUUUCAAAUCAUCAACCAUACCAAACGCUACAGAGCAAUAUUCGAAAGAGAAUCGAACAACUGUAAAAGCUGCAAAAGCAGAUUUGAAACAGAAAUAUGGAAUCGACAAACCUAGCACCGGCACCAACGACUGAACAUGGUAGUACUCAACGUCGACUUCCAAAGCCUCAACGACGACCUCUAACUCGGAAACGGACAGUCGAAAUCAACUCCAAAAUUCAAAUCUCAAACCAUUUUUUGUAGUGAGAAGAAACAGAAUUUCUUUUGAUAAUGUUUAUACAUGAAAAUUAAAAUAAAAAAUCAGAAGGGAAAUACCCUAAUCUGUCCAAAACUCCUUUUGCCUGUUUUCACUCUCUAUGUCGUGUGUAUGUGUGUAUUUUGAUUGUGGUGUGGUGGUUGCCGGAUUUCGACAACGAAGCUAAGAGGAGAUGGACGGUGGCUAGGUUCCGGCGGUUGCGGUGUGGGCGUUUGGUGGUGUGAGGAGUGAGAAGAUAAUCGGCAGGGGGGUGGGGUCUUGUGAUAGAAACGACGCCUGUACUGCGUCCACCUUCCUCCCCAGCUCAUUUAGACGUUACUCUUAUAGGGUAAGGAUUUU